UCGAAGAUGUGCAAUCGGAAAAAUAUGAGCCGACUUUUGAUAUGUUAUUUGAUAGUCAUGAGGAAAUGUGACAAUUUUAUAAAGCCUAUGAUAAACAAUAAGGGUUUCUUGUGAAGAAACUAACAAAUAAGAAAGAGAGUGAUGAAAUUGUAAGAUAUGCGACGUUUGCAUGUGGCCGUAAUGACAAGUCAGAAAGUAGAUCUACUGAUGUGCUGAAACCGAAACCUAUUGUGAAAAUUGAUUGUGAUGCUACAAUUGGAGGUUGUGUUAAAUGAAGAUGGAAAAUGAGUUCUUCAAACUUUAAACAUUCAACACAAUCAUGGAUUGAGUCCGUAAUGUUAGUGCAAGUGCAAAAAAGCGUAUUGAAAUGAAUGAUUGUGCGAGAAUUAACAUUUUUCGAAAUUUUAAUUCUAUUGUUGUUGAAGCUGGUGGAUAUGAAAAUGUCUCAUUUCUAGAAGGAGAUGCUAUGACAAUUCUAAAGUACUUCCAGAAAUAAGUAAGCAUUGUUUUCAACAUAGUUUUUCAACAUGUGUAAUACAUAUAUCAAUCGGUAAUUAUCACCAAAUAAUUACCAACAAAAUAAUUACCAAAAAAAUACCACCAAAAUAAUUACAAAUAUAUACCAAACAAUAAAAGAGAAACGACAGCAACUUACUUUGGGGAGGGAGAGAAGCGCCCGAGUUGAAUUUGGAGAUCUACGAGGGGGACGAGGAGCAGCGAGCAGAGAGCAGUAAUCUGCGAGCGAGGGAGAGAGGGAAGGAGUGAGCUCAUGAGGAAGUGAGGGAGAGGAGGAGAGGAGUAGAUCUCACUUUUUUUGUUCUUUUAUACCGGCGUUUUCCCUUUUAAUUCUUUUGUUUUUUGUUUUAACUAGAAUGCUGAGAGCUGCUAAUGGGAGAAACAAUAUUAAUUAUGUAUGCCAUUUCUCUCGAGGUUCUCUCAGCAUUCUAGUUAAUAAGCACUACUCCACAAUAACCAAAAGUGACAGAUUCUAUUAUUUUUCAGAAAACAAAGACUUCAAGGACAGCAAAUUUGUUCUUUUCACGGAGAAACCACCAAAAUAAUUACAAACAUAUACCAAACGAUAGAAGAGAAAUGACAGCAACUUACUUUGGAGAGGAAGAGAAGCGCCCGAGUUGAAUUUGAAGUUCUACAAGGUUCUCUCAGCAUUCUACUUAAUAAGCACUACUCCACAAUAACCAAAAGUAACAGAUUCUAUUAUUUCUCAAAAAACAAAGACUUCAAGGACAACAAAUUUGUUCUUUUCAUGGAGAAACCCCCUCCCCCAAAAACAAAAGCAGAAAACCCACAAAACAAGAAGUAAGCACUAGUACUUUUCACUAGCUAUACAAACAUGCCGGAAAAAGGUGAACAUAACAUGUCUCCAAUUAUAUUUCACCAAUAGGCAAAGUACUUCCAAUUUUCAUUUGCCAGCUGCUUGUUUCAUAACUAUUUCAAAUUCUAAAAACAAUUGAAUCCAAGGAACAAUAAAAAUCACCACCGAGCUAAUAACAAUCAGCAGCAUUAGCAGAUGCAGCUGCAGCAGCUCCUCAUCAUUGCCAAUUUUCCCAUUAUAAAUAAAUAUAUAUAUAUACUUUUUAAAUCUAUUUAGCCAUUUCAAAUUCAUCUCUUCUAUUUUUAAUGGGAAAACUGACAAUGAUGAGGAGCUAUUAUUUUCAAUUAACUAUGUUUAUUUAUUUUUAUUUUUUUCAAAAUACGUUUAGCCUUUUCAAAUUCAUCUCCUCUAUUUUUAACGGGAAAACUGACAAUGACGCCGAGCUACUGUUUUCAACUUUCUAUAUAUAUAUAUAUAUAUAAUUGAAAAGAAUAGCUCUUCAGUUUUCCCGUUAAGAAUAAAGGAGAUUAAUUUGAAAAGUCUAAAUAGAUUUAAAAGAAAUAGAAAUAGGAAAUUUAAAAUAUGAGAACCAACAAGCAAGCACUGUUCAUUGUUAAAGAACACAUGCCCAAAGAAGUUAAAAAUAAGCUCUGGAGAAGAUAAUCCUCCAUAAUAGAAUUCAAUGUACAUAUACUGUCAUUCUGUCAACAGAAUGUCCUGCCUCCAACUACAUUUCACCAUUAGGAAAAAGUAGCUUUAUCAUUAUCAUCUAGGGUUGUCUUAGGCACACAGUUCACAGCAGAAGGUGCAGCAAUUUACUAACCAACCAAUUACAGUUUCAAUGAAACCUCUUUUGAACAACAGAAACAAAAAUUAAUUGGAAGUGGCCUGUAGUUCCUCAUCAAGACGGGCUCAAACCAAAAAGUGAGCACUAGUACUUUUCACUAAUUACAGAAACAUGCCCCAAAAAGUUAAAAAUAAGCACUUGAGAGGAUUAUCCAUCAAAAUAGAAUUUGCACCUACAUUUCACCUACAUUUCACCAAUAUCCUGUCUCGAACAACUACAUUUCACCAAUAGGAAAAACUAAAUUCCCAAAACCAUUGAAUCCAAGAAACAACAACAAUCACCACCAAGAUAAUUAGGCCAAAUAGAAGAAGAAUGAACCCAAUACCGAAAAUGAUGAGCACUACCAACUCAAAAAAUUGAAAACAGAAGAUCACAUAUUGCAACUACUAGCUUCAUACCCCCACUUUCGCAUAAUGAAUAAGAAACUGCUUAUUAGCAAACAAUCACGAAACUUUUUUCAAAAAGGCAAAUACAGGGCAAAUACUUUAUGUACUAAACAGUGUCCAAGUGGACUAGACAUUACUUGGCAACAUUAGAACAACCUUUCAAGAAAUCCAGAGAUACAUAAUAAGAACAGUAACCACUUCCCUUUAAACUAUUCUUAUCGAUAGACAUGCAUAUAAAACUCAGCGUUUCAUUUAAAACCAAAGGCAACAGAUUUCUACUAUUUCCCCGCAUUCUCAGAAAACAAGACUUGAAAAACUACCAAAAUAGCGGCUAGUGACAAAUAUUAAGCUCGCCAGCAAAGUUGUUCCUUUCAUGAAGGGGUCAUAGACGAAAAUGCAGAUCUUCCCCACUUCACAGAAAUCACAAAAAAUAAGGGAUAAAUACCCAAUUUUUUUCUAUUUCUGCCAAAUAUUCUCUUUGUAACAAACCCAACAUCGCAAAUUCAACAAAAAAGAAAAAAUAUCCAGUAUGUAAGUAGAUUUAGACUAAAGAAAAUUGCAUAAACAGGAAACUCCGCAAGAUGAACAAUACAAAAUCUUUGCUUUUCCUUUGAUCUUUUCCAACAAAGGAAACCGAAGGCUGAAUGGUACAAGAAUAUAAAAACGUAUCAUCGAAUUAAAACAGUAAAAGUAAAGAACCAUGCCCCAAUCUGUUAGCAACUAUCCCAACGACCAAAAUCGGACGGAGACGUUUGGCCCGGGAUUGAGAGAAUGAAAAAGAAAUUGAAAAUU
rnacentral:lncRNA from 1 species